UUCAUUUCCUGGUUUGCUCCUGUUGGAUUGCUCUCGCCUCUCGUUGGGGAAAACUAAGAAGAUUUAUCCAGUUCAUGCCUAGAAGCCGAACCGGCAAGUGUGCUCGCAUUCGAGUAUAAUCCAUUGAGCUCAUGAAUAAAAUUUUUGAGGUAUGUUAUGGAAAAACAUCGUUUCUUAUAGACUAGUUAUUAAUAAUUGUAUUUUUUGAAUAGUUUCAAAAACUAUUUCAAUCAGGCGUUUGCACUGUAUCGAGGGAAGAAGCACGCUGAUGUUUAACUAGAGAUUAAAGUUGCAACAUAUUCUGGCUGCCUGAUUAUUGAAGUAAAACUAUAUCUUUGGUGUUUGUGCGUUGUCAGUGUUAGUGUGUCACGUUUCUAUGUUGUGUUUGUGUUUGGCGAAGUUAAACAAAAAAAAUUUAAAAACUUAACUAUAGACGCACUUAGCAAACGCUAGUAAAUAAGUUUUCUAAUCAUACUCAACGAAGAUAUGAUCGUCUGGAAAUGCAACCGUGAUGAAUAAUAUUUAACGCAAUUGAGACAAAAGAUUUGUGCACGGUGAAGUACAAUCCAACAUCAAACAAAGACCUUCUAUUUUGUAGUUUUGAUGUUUGCCAGGCUUCCAGACCAUCAUAUCGAUCUUCACACUUAUGGUCUAAUCUGCAAAAGGCUCAUCACGAAGUCUGUGCGGUUGUCCCAUUAUUUCAAAAGGUA